UAAAAUUGCAUAAAUUGCAUAAAGCACAUGAAUUUGCACAAAUAUACAAACCACGAAGUGCACAGUUCAUAUAAACAAACAAACAGGUGCAUAGUCCAUACAAACUUUAUACUUCACAGAAAUAAAAGAGUGCAUAGUUCAUACAAACCUUAUAGUGCAUGGAAAUAAGAGUACAUAGUCUAUACAAGCCACAUACAAUCUGAACUGAAAAUCAUCCGAUACAAAUCGAAAAUCAACGAUUUACCUCGAUUAUCGACGCCAGGAUCACAGUUCCCUCGCUCCCAGCUGCAGCAUCAUCGCAUAUAUAUUGAUUAUCAGCCUUAAUCGCACAAAAAUCGGUGAACGGAGCUGAAACCGUCCACUCUCUUGCUUUGUGCUUGCGCGCGUGUGAGGAAAGUGACAGGCAGGUUGGGGAAAGUGAGCUGGAACCUGAGGAGAGGGACAGGAGGUUGCUGGGAGAGAGAGUGAUUGUGGUCCUCGUGAGGCUACAGUGUGGUGGAAAAGUUAACGGGUUAACGGGUUAGUGGAUGGUAACAGGUAGUUAGAUAAAAAUAUUUUUUCCUAAGCAAACAAUUAUUGCUUUCAACAUGUGAUAACGUUCUGGAAUCAAGAGAAGGUCUAGUUUUUUAAAAAAUAAGUUCUCUAUUUUUUUAUGUUUUUUUAAAUUUUUGAAUUUUCCAUUGAAAUCCAGCGGAAACUCCAGUCGGUUUACGUUUUCAGUUAGCAUUGGUAACGAUAAAUUUCACCGAUAAUCACGAUUAUCGAGCGGUUUUGUAUUCCAUGCGGCUCACCUGCAUCUAGUGCGAGACUCCCCACUGGCCACGGGUACAUGCUGCAACUUUCAACACUUCCAGUGGACCAGGCCAUGUACAGGAGUGCUGGCUGCAGGUAGGCAAAGGCGCGGCGCUCC
rnacentral:lncRNA from 1 species